UGGUUUGCACCGUGGCUAGAUGGCUGUCUGGAUCCAUUCAGGUUGCUAUACCAACAUUCCAUGGAUGGACUGGGUGGCUUAGGAAACACAGACUUUUAUUUCUUACAGUUACAGAGGCUCGAAGUCCAAGGUUAGGGGGCCAGCAUGUUCAGGUGAGGGCUUUCCUCCAAGUCGCACACUUCCUGUAUCCUCACGGGGCAGAAGGGUGAGAGAAGCUUCUUUUAUAAGGCACUAAUCUCGUUAAUCAUCUCCCAAACCUCCUAAUACCCCACUUCCCAAUACCAUCACCUUGAGCAUUAGAUUUUCAACAUAUGAGUUUGGGGAGAACACAAACAUUCAGACCAUAGCAGUAGCAAUCACUUAAAAAUGGGCUAUUUCGCUACACACAUUACACACACACACACAAAAAGUACCAGAAUUUAGAAUCAUCUGACUUAAAGCCAAGUCUCAGACUUACCACUUAUCAGUUCUGAACAAGUCUUUUCAAAUCCCAAACUGCAAUUUCUUCAUCCAUAAAUAGGGAUAACAAUGACACCUGACCCACUCAUCCCCCAAGGAUAUUGCAAGAAUGACAUUAUGUGGGAAAAAAGUUGCUGUUGUAUGCCAUCAUGUUUUUUUCACUACUAAUCACAAAGGACUUUUAACUGAAGACUUUCUCUUAUUCAUUCAUUCAACAACCAUUUAUCACUCAGUACUGGCCUACCAUGUGCCAGACAUUCCCACUUCUCCUUUACAAUUAUCUUUUUAGUUAUCCAGAUUCCAUCCAGGGUGAUUUCUUACUUGUAAAUGAGGAUUUUAUUGCUUCUAUAUCUUGUACAUAAUUUUGUAUAUAAACUUUUAUAUAACAAAAUGAUAUAUAGAAAUUACACACACGCAGAAAUAGAAGACCAUGUCAACAUUACUGAGAAAGAGAUCGGAAGGUGUAAAAGUGAGAGUGGCGCUGGAAUACACCAAGAACAGGUCAGAUCAAUGCCCUCAACCACCCAGGAACUCAUAAGGAACUGACGUGCAUGGCACCAGUAAAAAUGCCCCAACAUUGAAUGGCAGGGGACUUAGUCUCCAUGUCUUGGUGGCAAUGAUUAGAGGAGACAACAUCUAGAAGAUGACCCAAAUCAAUGAGAGUGGAAGUCACAGGAGAGUGUCAGUGUUGAUCGUGCAGCUAGAAAGUAGGGUGACAAUGAUACCCCGCAAAUGAAGAUGACUUCUGACUGCCUCUCUUAAACCUUUAUGGACUGUGAAAUGAGAAGCAAGUGAUCUUCCUGGUGAGGACGGUGCUUUUGAUAUACUAGGAAUGUAACUGUUUCUUUAAUUCAUCAUCAGGCUUCUUUUAUCUGGGCACAUGUGUGGCACGUGUAUGAAUAUAUAUUCAUCCAUUCAGCACAACUUGGCCAUACAAGGAGCUGAACACUAUAGGUCAGACUGUAAGUUCUGUGAGGGCACAAAGGAUACCUGUGUUACGUACGUCAGAAUCCCAAGGAUAGCACCUUGAGUCCCAAGCUCAAGAGGCUGAGGAUUCGAUCAAAAGGAAGUGUGUGUGGCUGCAAAGAGAGAGGUAGAAGGAAGUGUAAUUGGUGGCUGGAAUUUAAAUUUGAGAGAUAAAGAUGCAAAAGGAGAGACCAUCAUAAAGCACUUAGUGUUGUACCUGGCACAUAAUAAGCACCCAAUAAAUGAUUGCUACCCCCAUAUUCUACA
ensembl:lncRNA